CUGUCAGCCACCGGCUCUUCUGUGAACGUGGAUGAAAGCCUUGUUUCACUGUGCCUCCAGUCUCCACGCCUCCUUUGAUUGGAUAUCAAGGCGAAUGACCUACCGGCGUGGAGCAGGAUGGCAGCUGGACAUUGGAGGCUGAGGAGCUCACGCCGGACUUCACUUUCCGUGGUUCCUAUGACGAAUACGACAGGUGGUUUUCCACACACUUCCUGUGCCAACAACCUACCUCUACGGGGCGGGGCAUGCUGGGAGGUGGUCACGCCCAGCUUGCAGGACCCCUGCUGGGUGUGUAGGAGCCCUGGAGCCGGGAGCACCCGCUUACAUGGAGCAAGUAUCCUUGACUUGGUCCCGUUCCUGCAAUUUCCCCACACGACCCAGCAGCAUUCCGUCCUGGAUGUCUGGAAUUGCUAAGAGGCUUCUCAUUUUUUCACAUUCAUAAGGACAGAUCCCUUUCCAAGAAAGCAGGCCAGAGUUUGCCACGGAUGGCACGCAUUGAAGUCGUGGUGUGAGCAAAGUCCUGAGAAGUUACUGAGAGCCUGGGGGUAACUUCUGAUGAGUUACCCAGAACCCCGCUGUGUGUGGUCAUCAGCCCAAGCUCUCCUGUCAUUAACUCUGCUCUUUCCUCACUAGUUCCCUGCUUCGCAAGAGCUGCCCUAAAUCACCUAGCCCUGGCCCUGCAAUACCAAAAAUAUCCUUCCCUGACUUCCGCUAAGUCAACAUGAAUUUCAGGAAGUCUAAUAAACUUAGCUUUGCUUGA